ACCUCGGUGGUGUAGUGGGAGCACGCGUCCCCGGUAUGGAUGGUACGCCGGUUCGACUCCCACCUGUGGUC